rnacentral:rRNA from 1 species
GAUUCGGGGUGCACCAGGCGCGAAAACUUUACAAUGCACGAAAGUGUGACAAGGGAAUCCUAAGUGCUCAUGUUUUACAUGGGCUUUUGCCAAGGGUAAAUACCUUGGAGAAUAAGUGGUGGGUAAGACUGGUGCCAGCAGCCGCGGUAACCCCAGCGCCACGAGUGGGAACCAUAUUUAUUUGGCCUAAAGCGUCCGUAGCUGGAUCUGUAAAUCUUUUGUGAAAUCGAAGAGCUCAACUCAUCGGCGUGCAGAAGACACUGCAGAUCUUGAGAUCGGGAGGGGUAAGGAGUAUUCCGAGGGAACCGGUAAAAUGGGAUAAUCCUCGGAGGACUACCUGUGGCGAAGGCGCCUUACCAGAACGAGUCUGACAGUGAGGGACGAAGGCUAGGGGAGCGAACCGGAUUAGAUGCCCGAGUAGUCCUAGCAGUAAACGCUGUGGGCUAGGUGUUGCACCAUCUUCGAGAUUGUGCAGUGUCGUAGCGAAGGCAAUAAGCCCACCGCCUGGGAAGUAUGGUCGCAAGACUGAAACUUAAAGGAAUUGGCGGGGGAGCACAAUCACUAGUGAAU